UUAAGUUCAGCGGGUAUUCCUACCUGAUCCGAGGUCAACAUUUCAGAAGUUGGGUGUUUAACGGCUGUGGACGCGCCGCGCUCCCGAUGCGAGUGUGCAAACUACUGCGCAGGAGAGGCUGCGGCGAGACCGCCACUGUAUUUCGGAGACGCCCCCGCAAGAGGAGGGCCGAUCCCCAACGCCGACCCCCCGGAGGGGUU
rnacentral:misc_RNA from 1 species